rnacentral:rRNA from 1 species
GACGUAGGGUGCGAGCGUUGUCCGGAUUUAUUGGGCGUAAAGAGCUCGUAGGCGGCUUGUCGCGUCGACCGUGAAAACUUGGGGCUCAACCCCAAGCCUGCGGUCGAUACGGGCAGGCUAGAGUUCGGUAGGGGGAGACUGGAAUUCCUGGUGUAGCGGUGAAAUGCGCAGAUAUCAGGAGGAACACCGGUGGCGAAGGCGGGUCUCUGGGCCGAUACUGACGCUGAGGAGCGAAAGCGUGGGGAGCGAACAGG